AAUCUAGAGAAUGCUGAAGAAGCAGCAGAACAGUUCAAGUUAAUCCAAGCAGCGUAUGAUGUUCUCAGUGACCCCCAGGAAAGAGCUUGGUAUGAUAAUCAUAGAGAAGCUCUUCUGAAAGGAGGAGUUGAUGGUGACUAUCAGGAUGAUAGUUUAGAUCUGCUGCGCUAUUUCACUGUUAGCUGCUACUCUGGAUUCGGAGAUGAUGAAAAGGGAUUCUUUUCAGUCUAUCGACAAGUUUUUGAAAAGAUUGCAAAAGAAGAGAUGGAAUAUAUGA